GAAGUGAUAUUAGCAAUAUUAGAAAUCCAGCACUGUGGGCUGUGUAGCAGUAGAAUGUGAUAGAAACUGAAAGCGUGGAUGCGGUAGAAGAGGCUUUCAUUUCAACACAAAUAUCUUUGAUUCUUUGGAAAACCAUCAGAGAAAAAGAGGACAGUAUAUCAGAGGACAUUAUUGGCUGCAAGGACAGAAGCUUCAAGUUUAUUAGGCUGGGGUUGGAAAGGUCUUUGAGGAUCUAGCAACACGUUAAAUAUCAAAGUACAGUUUGGUCUAAGUGGAGGAAAAUACUGCUUGUCUUUGCUGCAGCUGGGGAGAUCCUGGCCAAGGAAAGGAAGUCCAGAAAUUUUCAAAGGUUGGGGAAGAAAGAAUUCCAUACUAAUAAGCCCAAAUUGAGUAACAAGAUAAACUCACUGGCCUUACCCUCAUCUUCAACCAUGGAGGCAGGACUAUUUCUUGCAGGAAUUUGUGGAUUUCAUCCUUGAUGAAUGGUGACAUCAUAACAACACAACUUCUUUUACCAUGCUGCUGAGCAAAAGGUGGUACAAAUUUUGAGUCACUGACCACUUCAAGAUGAAUCAUCUACCAACAGGGAACACUCCUCUGGACUUUGGUUACUCCAUCUGACACUUCUGCUUUUCUCAGAUUAAGUCUGUUUCCAGAUGUCCUCUGAAUAUUUGUAGUGACAAAAAGUGAAGCAUGAAGCAUGUGGAAAAAUGCCUCCUGUAGAAAUGGAAAAGGAGAGAAAGAUCCAACACAGAGAAGUUCUGGACAAUGAUACUUACUGAAGUUUCCCCACAAAAAGAGAAAUAUUAGAAAAUCAUGACCACCAAUUGCAAGGAACCCUACUGCUCUUCAGGACAUGUAGGACUCAGAAGCGGAAGAAACUUUUUAUUUUCCUCUGCCAAGACAACUGGGUCAGUGAGUGACGCAGGCAAAGUAUUGAAGAGACAGACAACCACAAGCUCAACCUAUGCACCUUGAUGCGGAAGUGGAAACACACUACCGGAAGUCUCAUCACAGACAGGAAGCUUCGAAAAUGGAAAAGCCAGUCCAGUGCUUCUUUCUUUCAUGCUGGGGUAGUGUGGUUUCUCUGUUUUCCAUGUAGAAAAUAAAAAUAAGAACUUUUUCCUACCUUAUUGCUAUGUUGAUCUUCAUUGGUUGUAAGAUCAUAAAGAAAGGUCUCAGAUGCUAUGGUAACAGUGGCUUAUAAGCCUGAGAAGUCACUAAAAAGACUUUAUCAUUGGAAUAAAAUGAAAAAUGUAUUUGCUUGUAGGGCCUACAAAAGUCAAAAGAAGGUAGAAAACCUGGAAGAUUGAUUUGCGCAAAACAAAUUGAACACAAGUGCAGCACGGAGGUAAAACAGUGUCAUGGUGACAUGCAAUGAAGACUUUCAUGGCUCAAAUAAGAGUAACUUUCAGAAUCACCUUAAAAACAGGAGUUACAGAGACCCUUCCCAUUGUGGUCAAGAAACCAUUUGCCAUACUUUGGCAAUGCGUGUUCUGUGGCUGUUACAUGUUUUACAGAAAAAAUAUUUAGAAAUAUUUCUUUCUUCAUUAUGUUUGCUACCACUUUUUGUGAUCAUUAACACCGACUCUUGUGUGUAAAAACUGAAUAUUCAGUGUGUGGGGCAAAAUAUAUAAUAAGCAUAUCUUAGAAAUCUAUGAAAUUAUCUAAAAAAGAGCUUCAGUCUUACUGUCAUAAUGCAAAGUCUCACUACCUCUUUACAGGUUAUAAAACAGAGGCCUCUUGUGCUUUUGGGAAGUUAGAUUUCUUGAAUUCCUAUUAUUGGAGGCUCAGUGAAGCAUCAUGUGCCAAAUAUUUCUCUAAUGCAAAGUUAAGCGUUGCUAGUUUAGGAUUGAAUCUUGGAGGGAAAAUUCCAUGUGUGAAAGCAAAGCACCUUAUUUUAUUUUAGACGCUGUAGUUGUCUGAAGCUAUUCAGAGGUUAUCCCAUAGCUUUGUCAAAUUUUCUAAAGUGUGUUUCUAAGCAAAUAAUGAAUCUGUUGUGUGCAUAUGCAUGAUUUUUUGUUCUAGCUAAAUAGUAGCACUGAAGUCCUGCCAUGUUUAUUUCUGGAUUUCCAAAUAAUCUGCCUGAAGUAGUGUUUUUCACCCACUCGCAAACUUCUGGCAUAAAGAGGAAGAGAACCAAAGGGCAGUAAAAGCUUUGCUUCUCUGGGCCUCUAGGUCUCCAUGAUUUAUUCCAAGAAGCUCCACAUGAAUUUCCCCGGAUGAAGUGAUAACAACAGGAGUUUUGCCAUUGUUCAAUGGGAUCAAGGCUUCGCACCAAACCACUGCCCAUAAUUCAAUUACAUGGUGUCAGCAACAGGAAAAAAAACGAGCCUUUUCUUCACAUAUGACUUGCCUGAAUCUUUGCUUUCUACUGGUUUGUAAAAUAAGUGAAAUAUGCAUGCCUGAGCAUCCAGCUGUUACUCUUGGCAAGCCUCCAGUAGCACAGGUUAUAGCAUCCCGAGGUUACAAAUUAACACCAUCAUACUGGGAAAGUGGUUGGUUUUUUGUUUUGCUUUGUUUUUUCAUUCCAAGUUUCUGCAAGUGUAGCACAGCAUAAAGCUACGUGUUUGCUCUCCCCUGGAUGGCAGGACUGACCUUCAACCAAAUAUUUAAGGAACUCUGCAGAGCCUGACGUGCUCCACGCUGCAUGAUUCAAUGGGAAGGAAGCCUACCUCUACAGGAGGUCAUCGAGAAAGUAAGAUAAAGCAGCACUCUGAAAGGAACAGCAGCAGGACAUGGCUCAAAAUAUUAUCAAAGGAAGAAAACUGUUUUCUUAAAGGGCAGCAGUCUCCAUUGCAGAGGAUUUGAGACACCUUGAGCCUCCCAAUGCUCCUUCAAACUCUUCUGCUCUAACAUUGCAGCAGCUACUUUGGAUAUUUAUUGAAAUUUUGAAUGAAGGCAUGAGUGACAGAAAAGAGGGGAGUGGAGCUGAGGGGAGCAGCAUAACCCUCCGUAUGGUCGGUGACCAGCCAGCCUUCCUCUGGCUCUGCACAGCUGUGAGGGCCUCUUCAGGUCCACAUCUCUAGGACAGUAGUUGCUGGGUAGGAUUAUUGCACCAAUUUAAUUAGAUGUUUAUGCAACAGCUCUAUACCAGCUGUCAAUUCUAGAAAUCCACUCGCUGAACAUAAGGGAAGGUGGUUCUUUUCCCUAUUGUUAAAAACCCUAUAUAGUUCUAUGUUAGAUUCACCUCCAUAAAACGUUCAAAAGACUUGAGGAAGCGUAGCAUUAUCUUUUGUAUUACUUCUUUUUUAGUACAGCUACACAUAGAUCUCAUAUAUGCAUGUAUACACACAAAUGUUUAUACACAUAUGCACAUGUACUCUCACAUAAGUGAACCCAAAUUUUUAAUAGAUUUUAAUGGGUAAAUAAUGCCAUUAAUAUUAAAAAAAUUCAUAAAAUGUCUUGUUUAACAGUAAAUUUUGAUAAUCAUACACACAUACUGUCAUAUAAUAUUGCAGUGUGUUUUAAAUACUGUUUGAAUGCUCUAUGAUUAUAAUAAUCAAAUAUAUAACAUCAAGACUGUCUGAAGGCAAAGGAAUGUCAGAAGAAAUACAUGAUGAGAAUAAAAAUUACAUAAAAGUAGCCUUCUAAGUAAGUAACAGUCAGGCAUGGCACUGGCAAAUGUCAAAACAAGUAAUGAUUAUCAUGUGGAAAUUCAUAUCUGAAUGACAUUAUACAGUAACUAUGCCAUGAACCUUGUACCUUGUCUGAAUGUUAUAUAAUCUCUCCCUCAGAUUUUGCCCAGUUUGUUUGCACUACUCUAGGUUUUAAUAUGUAAUAUGAUAAAAUAAAUGCAAACAUCUAAAUUUAAA